ACCAUCUUGACCAGGCUGGUCUCAAACUCCUGACCUUGUGAUCCACCCGCCUCGGCCUCCCAAAUUGCUGGGAUUACAGGCGUGAGCCACCGCGCCCGGCUAUAGGUCUGUUUUCUAAAUGCUUUAGUGUCUAAGAAACUCUAUUUCUUAGAAAGGGUUGCAGCCUACACAGCAGCCAUGCCACAGGCUGGGAAGUGUGCCUCUGGCCAAGACCACAGACCGGCACUU
rnacentral:lncRNA from 1 species